rnacentral:rRNA from 1 species
GACAGAGGAUGCAAGCGUUAUCCGGAAUGAUUGGGCGUAAAGCGUCUGUAGGUGGCUUUUUAAGUCUGCCGUCAAAUCCCAGGGCUUAACCCUGGACAGGCGGUGGAAACUACCAAGCUGGAGUACGGUAGGGGCAGAGGGAAUUCCCGGUGUAGCGGUGAAAUGCGCAGAUAUCGGGAGGAACACCAAUGGCGAAGGCAGCUCGCUGGGACGGUACUGACGCUGAGACGGCGAAAGCGUGGGGAGCAAACAGG